rnacentral:rRNA from 1 species
GGGCCCGCACAAGCGGUGGAUUAUGUGGAUUAAUUCGAUGCAACGCGAAAAAACCUUACCUGGCCUUGACAUGUACCGAAUUUAGCAGAGAUGCUUUAGUGCUCGUAAGAGAACGGUAACACAGGUGCUGCAUGGCUGUCGUCAGCUCGUGUCGUGAGAUGUUGGUUAAGUCCCGCAACGAGCGCAACCCUUGCCAUUAAUUGCCAUCAUUUAGUUGGGCACUUUAAUGGGACUGCCGGUGACAAACCGGAGGAAGGUGGGGAUGACGUCAAGUCCUCAUGGCCCUUAUGGCCAGGGCUUCACACGUAAUACAAUGGAUGGUACAGAGGGACGCCAACCCGCGAGGGGGAG